ACAACGGCUCUUUUAAGAGCCACACACCCUGAACCAGAGAGAAGCU
rnacentral:ncRNA from 14 species